UACGAAGGGGGCUAGCGUUGCUCGGAAUUACUGGGCGUAAAGGGCGCGUAGGCGGACAGUUUAGUCAGAGGUAAAAGCCCAGGGCUCAACCUUGGAACUGCCUUUGAUACUGGCUGUCUUGAGUACGGGAGAGGUGAGUGGAAUGCCGAGUGUAGAGGUGAAAUUCGUAGAUAUUCGGCGGAACACCAGUGGCGAAGGCGACUCACUGGCCCGGUACUGACGCUGAGGUGCGAAAGCGUGGGGAGCAAACAGG
rnacentral:rRNA from 1 species